rnacentral:rRNA from 1 species
GCGUCAAAGCGUAUUACCCCAACAAUCCAAAACAUAGUCCCCACUCCCUGACCUCCCACCGAGCAACUCUAUUUAAUAAUAGAAGAACUAAUGCUAAAACUAGUAAUAAGAACCAAUUCUCCUUACACGCUCUUCAAUCAGAAAUAGAUAAACUACUGAAAAUUAACAAACUAUAUAAAGAACAAAACAAACCACCAAGCAAAAGUUCACACAACUUGUGACACCAACACAGGAGUGUUUUAAGGAAAGAUUAAAAGCCCAACAAGGAAUUCAGCUAAUAGACUCCAACUGUUUACCAAAAACAUAGCCUUUAGCAUAACAAGUAUUAAAGGUCUCGCCUGCCCAGUGAUUCUUUCAACGGCCGCGGUAUCCUAACCGUGCAAAGGUAGCGUAAUCAUUUGUCUCCUAAAUAGAGACUCGUAUGAACGGCUAACUGAGAGCCUAACUGUCUCCUAGGACCAAUCAAUGAAACUGAUCUUCCAGUACAAAAGCUGAAAUACACCCAUAAGACGAGAAGACCCUGUGGAGCUUAAAACACACACUAUUUUUUACCUUUUUCCCCACGGAAUCAACACCCAAAACAUAGUGAUAAGACUUUUUAGUUGGGGCGACUUUGGAAUAAAAGAAAACUUCCAUGAAAGGGCUCCCCCUACCAAGGCCCACUAGCCAAAAUAAUUCUUCUUGACCCAGACAUCUGAUCAAC